AUUAGCUGACGAGUCCCGAAUAGGACGAAAUGUGCAUCCUGGAU
rnacentral:hammerhead_ribozyme from 1 species